GUCCCUGUAGCGCAAUGGAUAGCGCGUUGGACUUCUAAUCUAAAGGUCGUGGGUUCAAAUCCCACAUGGGAUA
rnacentral:tRNA from 1 species